rnacentral:tRNA from 1 species
GCAGUGGUGGUUCGGUGGUAGAAUUCUCACCUUCCGUGCGGAAGACCUGGGUUUGAUUUCUAGCCAGUGCA